rnacentral:rRNA from 1 species
CCUACGGGAGGCAGCAGUGAGGAAUAUUGGUCAAUGGACGAGAGUCUGAACCAGCCAAGCCGCGUGAGGGAUGAAGGCCCUACGGGUUGUAAACUUCUUUUGUAUGGGAAUAAAAUGUUCCACGUGUGGGAUUUUGUGUGUACCCUAUGAAUAAGCAUCGGCUAACUCCGUGCCAGCAGCCGCGGUAAUACGGAGGAUCCGAGCGUUAUCCGGAUUUAUUGGGUUUAAAGGGAGCGUAGGUGGAUUGUUAAGUCAGUGGUGAAAUGUCGGGGCUCAACCGCAGGAGGGCAGUUGAAACUGGCAGGCUGGAGUGCAGGAGAGGUGGGCGGAAUGCGUGGUGUAGCGGUGAAAUGCUUAGAUAUCACGAAGAACUCCGAUUGCGAAGGCAGCUUACUGGCCCGCAACUGACACUGAGGCUCGAAAGCGUGGGUAUCAAACAGGAUUAGAUACCCUUGUAGUC